GAUUGGUUUACACAUUUAUAGCCGUACACAGGUUAUGUUCAGUUCCCAUAUUUAAUAAUCUUAUCCCAAAACAGAUAUUUAAGAUGGGAGUUCAGAGUAUAUCUUACGUGGUUAUUGUCGCCAUCUUGGCUACAGUUCAAGCUGAUUGGUUUUCAGACCCAGAGUGGUCUUUUCAGGUGUACAUGAACGAAAACACCAGUUUACGCUGCAACGACAGUUUAGUAAAUAUUCAUCCGUCAGCCGAGCUCUGGUGGCAUUUACCAAGCGGUGCUAAAAUCCACGGCUACUCAUUACAGAGAGAUGAGAAAUACGAGUUAAUGGACGACAACGGACUCCGAGGCGGUAUACUCAAGAUCAAAAACGUUAAAUCCAGCGAUCACGGAUUAUAUAUCUGUAUGGUUUACAAUGGAAGCGAAAGGAUCCACAAGAUAAAUCGUGGGCUCAAUCUUUAUGGACAUUUGGACAGGGACAAUUUUAAUCUUUAUCGUACACAGGUGAUUGUGGCUUUUGUAGCUGCUUUAGUCUUCGUGGUGCCGCUUUUGGCAAUUUGCUUCAUAUACCACUUCCGGUACAUGAGCGACGCCGAGAAAGAGCGUAAGCAAAACAGUGAGAAAUAUUUCAGUGAACUUCAUCAAGCUCUGCAAAAUGGCAGCGAUUAUCCGACAAAGCCAUACCAGCACUAUGAUAACCCCUCUUAUGAUACGCAUCUUUAAAGUCUCCAAAUCACUCAGGCUCUUUUAAAAAUCUAUUUCUUCAAUACACACAGUGGCGUAGUUAGAGUUUGUGCCGCUACCCCAUCAGAAUCCGCAAAAACACACACCAUAUACAUGUGAAAAAUGCUUAAACCUUUAAACAUACAAAGCGGUGUUAAUCAUGACAAAAUAUAAUUGUCAGAUCGUUUUGUAUCACGGUAACGUCCCGACAGAAAAUCAAAGUUAUUUUCAAUGAAGAAAACCAAAAGUGCCACGCCACGUAUACGUGCAGCCCGUGGCGGGUCAAAUUAACGUACGCUACUUGAUAAUCGACAUCCUAAAUAUAGUAUAUUUAUCGAGUGGAUAACAGUUACAAUUAAAUUCUAGUUAAAGAUGCAUUAUGUAAGAUUUAGAUAAACAGCUGACAGUUUUCGUUAUGAUAGUUAAAACGAUAGAUAAUGAAAAGGGAAUAUCUUGAAAAUUUCAGUCAAAAUAUUUCAUUUUUGAGCGACGUUUAUAUAGGGCUGUUUGGAGUCUCGAUUGUAAUUGCUACCGAUGUUACGAUAGUAAACCAAGUCUCGAUUAUCCAAUUUUUAAAAUUUAAUCAUUAACCGCCAAUUAUGUUUAAAUCCGUUGAAAAUCUCGAGCAUCCGAUGACACCGGAAGUUGAUUAUAUGUUUCGGCAAGAUAUUUAAUGUCCAUUUUAUAAUUUAUAUAACAUGACACAUGUAAGGCCUAAAGAAAGACUUGUAAUGGUCAGAUUUAGCUGUUGCAUAAUGCAUCUUUAAAAGUUGAUCGAAAAUAAAUGUAACCUAUUCUGGUCUCUACUAUUAUUUUCCUGAACUAUACAAAAUAUCACAUCGAAGAAAUAUAUCCUUAAAGCAUAGUAAACUUAUAGUAAACUUAUAAACCUCAUAUAGGCCUAUAUUCUUGAUGCGAGGUCUGCUCCAGGGCUAAGGACAACUCAAGUCGGCAAGUGAUCUUUCCAUUAACUUAGACAAGUCUUAGAUGAGUAUGUUGGACGGACUCCAGACUAAACAUUCGGAUAUAGACAACAUGCUUUUUGGACCAGCUACUUUUUUAUCGUGUUUAAAUGAAAGUCUAUAUUUUCUGUUUAUUCUAGAAAGAGAUUUACGUUCCACUCAAAGUAAUCUAGGCUAUUUUGUAACUAACACAUUUUAUAUCUUAUUUAAAUAAUUCGCUUGUACCACACGUGUCUUUAACAGUGGGAGAAAAAUGGAGCACCCAGAGAAAGUAACACUGCUCCUUGCCCCAAUAACACACCUGGGCCCUGUUUCACGAAAUUUAACUAAAGAUAAAAUCCAAAUUUUAGUAGAUACUUCAAUUUUGAUUGGCUUAGCACUAAAAUCAAUCUAAUAUUAUCCUAUCAAAUUACUAAAAUUUGGAUUUUAUCUUAGUUAAAAUUUCGUGAAACAGGCCCCUGGGAUCCAAAUCUCGAUGCGCACGCAUUAGACCACCCAACCGCCGGUUUAUUCUAGAAUAAUCGAGGUUUUAAUAUUAAUACAUCUUUAAAUAUUGUCUUGUAUCUUUUUAUACCACAUCUUGCCCUGUGAUUAUCUCCUAUACUUAGAUCUCGCCAUGUAUCUUAUGAGUUAUCUUUUCUUAAUAUAUAGUUGUAUGUUAAUCAAAAUGCGAUUACUAUUCAUCCAUUUAGGAAUUUUUAACGCCAUUUUUGUGACCAGGUACUGACCCUCAACCGCUACUCGCCUUGUUGUUCUUGUGGUUGAUAUAUGAGGGGGAGGUGGGGGGCAUCUCCUUCGACAAACGCCGUAUGAUCGAUAUAAAACUUGGUAUGCUUGUUCCUUGGACAAUUACACUUCGAUAUUUGCUUUCCAAGAUGGCUGCGUCAUAGAUUGUUCCUGGUCCAUGAAUGAUGCGCUAGUUUAUAAUCAUAAUCAAAAUUGUAUUCUUUCCGUUUAAUCAUUAUGUUUUGUUAUAUAUCAUGUAUGUUCAUUUUAUAAUAAAAAUAUCUUAUUAUAUUCUUA